rnacentral:rRNA from 1 species
UACGUAGGCAGCAAGCGUUGUUCGGAGUUACUGGGCGUAAAGAGCUCGUAGGCGGUCUGUCGCGUCGGCUGUGAAAACUCGGGGCUCAACUCCGAGCUUGCAGUCGAUACGGGCAGGCUAGAGUUCGGCAGGGGGAGACUGGAAUUCCUGGUGUAGCGGUGAAAUGCGCAGAUAUCAGGAGGAACACCGGUGGCGAAGGCGGGUCUCUGGGCCGAUACUGACGCUGAGGAGCGAAAGCGUGGGGAGCGAACAGG